rnacentral:lncRNA from 1 species
ACUGUAAAUAUGUGAAAAACUGGAAACAGUGGUUGCCAGAAUGUACAGUGAUGGUGGUGAUGAUAUUCCAGGCAUUAUGGCAGGUGUUUUGGUGGCUGUAUCCAGUAUUUUAUUUAUAGUCCCUAACUUUACAAGAUGUUAGAUACCAAUCUGAGCUUUUUAAAAUCUUUUAGUUACAGUAAAUGUUCUGAUAUUACACAGGUGGUACAAUAGAAGGUAACAUGAUGAUUAUGUUUUUGUUCUCUCCAUGUGUCCACAGAGUUACAAAACCACCCUCAGAGUAAAACACGUGACAAUAAAUUAAUUCUGUUUAUGUGACAUAAACAACAUAAAAUGAAUAGAAAAUAUUCCACAAAAAAAAAACAAAAGAUGCUAAAUGAAAUAUAGACAAAUGUGGCAGUUCUCAUCUGGAAUCCUGGUAAUACUAAUAAAGGUAAUAAAUUAAUGCUUUAUAAAUUAUUAUAGAUUAAUACCUAAUAAGUGAUCAGAAUUUUAGUGUAGUGUACAAUAACUUUACAUACAUACAUAUACAAAAUACCAUAACUGUACAUGUACAGUAUAUGUAUAAUUAGUAUACUGUAAUAUUAAUAAGGCAAAUUUCUGUAAAUAUUGUUAACAUUUUCUACACAAUAAGCCUCUUUGAAAUACUCUAAACUAGACUAUACUAUAAAUUCUUAGAUUUUUUUUUUUUCCAAAUUAUAAUUUUAAUGUGAAAAUAUUUGCACUAACUCCUAAGAAAUUUUCCAGGCAGUGUAUGCUCAACAUCACAUUGUUUACACGGAUGUCUUUACUUUUAAAUGAUGUUCAAGGAAACAUUUGCAGGCUGAUUUUUAUCUGAUUGAAUUGCCAGAAAACAGACUGUAUAAAUAUGGAUCAGCUAGUCAAAAGCUACAUGUACACUUUUGACAGCAACAGCAGAACCAUGUUCUCUCUCAGUGUCCUCCUGCUUACCUUGGUGCUUCUGAACUUCUGAUUGCUGAUAUCUGCAGGUAUUUCAUUUAUCCAUGAACCAUAUCAAAAAUAAGCAGUUAAGCAAAGCUUACUUGACUAAGAAGUCCAGAUUUAAAUGUCACAGUUGUUGAUUGUGUGAGUGGGUUGUGGUGUAAAUAUGUCACUAUAUGUUUGUUAAAUUAUUAUUAUUAGCAUUAUU